GACGAUUGAGAGCGAGCGUCCGGCAAUGGCGAUCCCGAGGAAUCGGCCACCGCUCGCCGCCGCCGCCGCCGCCAUCGCGCUUCUCAUCUCGAUCGCCUCGGCGGAGGUCUUCUUCGAGGAGCGAUUUGAAGAUGGAUGGGAAAGCCGGUGGGUUAAGUCUGACUGGAAGAAGGAAGAGAACAUGGCCGGUGAUUGGAACCAUACGUCUGGGAAAUGGAAUGGAGAUCCAGAAGACAAAGGUAUUCAAACCACUGAGGACUAUAGGUUCUAUGCAAUCUCGGCUGAGUUCCCUGGGUUCAGCAACAAGGAUAAGACUCUUGUGUUCCAGUUCUCUGUUAAGCACGAACAGAAGCUUGACUGUGGUGGUGGUUACAUGAAGCUGCUCAGUGGUGAUGUUGAUCAGAAGACAUUCAGCGGGGAGACCCCCUAUAGUAUCAUGUUUGGACCGGAUAUUUGCGGGUACAGCACCAAGAAGGUUCAUGCCAUUCUUACACGCAAUGGUGUGAAUCACUUGAUCAAGAAAGACGUUCCAUGUGAAACGGACCAACUAACUCAUGUCUACACCUUCAUCAUCCGCCCGGAUGCUACUUAUAGCAUCCUUGUUGAUAACACUGAGAAGCAAACAGGAAGCAUAUACAGUGAAUGGGAUAUUCUUCCUCCAAAGAAAAUCAAGGAUCCCGAGGCAAAGAAGCCUGAGGACUGGGAUGACAAGGAGUUCAUUCCGGAUCCCGAGGAUACUAAACCCGAGGGCUAUGACGAUAUUCCCAAGGAAAUUACUGAUACUGAUGCUAAGAAGCCGGAAGACUGGGAUGAUGAAGAAGAUGGU
rnacentral:misc_RNA from 1 species